AUAUAAGAUAUUCAUUUUCUUGACAAUGUUAAGGUUGGUGGACAUAGAACCAAAUCGUCAGCAUCAUAACAAAAUCAUCAUAAAUACUUAUAAUAGUUGUGAAAUAAUUGUUCAGCAUACUGAAGAAAGCUUUGGCAAAUCAUUUAUUUCGUGUAAUAUCAACAACGGUAUCUUACUAUAACUUAAAGGCUUUUUGCUAAUGCAUUUUGUAUUGUUUCGCUGAAGUGGCUUUCACUCGGUUUAGCUCGCAUUUUCGUCCGCCUGUCAAACAAGUCGUAACAACAGCAAUAAGGCAAAGAAUACAUAAUGGCCAAUCCAAAGUGUUCUUAUUAUCCCGUCUUAAAGUGGUGUGAUUUAAGACCGCAACUUGGCAAACAAAAACCAAAAAAUAAAAUGGAACAUGUAAAGAGGA